rnacentral:rRNA from 1 species
CAGCGGCCCGUACCGCAAACCGACACAGGUAGUCGAGGAGAGCAUCCUAAGGCGCUCGAGUGAUUCGUGGCUAAGGAACUAGGCAAAUUCGACCCGUAACCUAGGGAGAAGGGUCCCCCGAUUUCGGUCGGGGCGCAGCAAAGAGGUCCAGGCGACUGUUUAGCAAAAACACAGGGCUCUGCAAAUUCGCAAGAAGAGGUAUAGGGCCUGACACCUGCCCGGUGCUGGAAGGUUAAGGAAGGGGGGUUAGCCGCAAGGCGAAGCUCUUGACUGAAGCCCCAGUAAACGGCGGCCGUAACAAUAACGGUCCUAAGGUAGCGAAAUUCCUUGUCGGGUAAGUUCCGACCUGCACGAAUGGUGUAACGAUCUGGACACUGUCUCGGCCACGAGCUCGGUGAAAUUGAAGCAUCGGUGAAGAUACCGAUUACCCGCCACGGGACGGAAAGACCCCGUGAACCUUUACUAUAGCUUUGCAUUGGGCUUGGGGUACAGGGAUGUGUAGGAUAGGUGGGAGGCAUUGAAGUGGGGACGCCAGUCCCUGUGGAGCCGACGUUGAAAUA